AUUCUGAAAAUUCUACUUUUCUCCAAGCUCCAAGAUAUAAACUUUCUUCACUGCUGCUCUAAUCUGUUCAUUAUAAAGGUUCUUUAGAAGAAACUAAAGCUAUUCAAUUUGAUGUGCAAGAAGCAACUGGAGGUUUGUAGUUCCAGGCUCUGAUGUUGGUUAAGGGAGAUUGGGCAAAAGCAUCUACCAACUAUAAAUGGUCUUCCUCACAAAGAAGCCCUUUUAAGCUACUGUCAGAGUGGUAUUCAGUUAUAUAAUUGGGGAGUCUAUGAUAUUGUUUUUGAAUGUGGUCAUCUGGUAUAGUUUACAAUUAUCAAACUACAGUUGCUAGAGGUAUUUGAUCUUGCAAGAUGUGUAUUGUCUGUGCUUCUUUUAUUGAUGUUUGGUAAUACCAGGGGUUCUAUACCAUUUUGCUUGAGAGUUUGGAGAGUGUUCUUGCACAUGCAUAUGCAGGCUGGUUUCUACAAUGAUUGUCAGCGCAGAGUUUCAUUCGGUACUUUUAAAUACCAAUGCUAUAGUGAAUCAGCUGCAAAGUAAUUGUGGGUUUCUUGAUAGUUAUUGUGAAGGCAUUCUAUAACUAUCAAGAAACCCUCAACAGAUUUAUAACACUAUCAGUUGAUGCGGUUAUGAUGUUGGGCUUGCUUCUCCACUUGCAGCUUCUGCUGUGGUACAAGUUGCAUAACUUGUAGAUAAUGGUUAUAUAGCCAGAAGUUAUAUGCCUUAUGGAGGGCAUCAAAGAGACUAUUUAUUUUAUGGCUGGACUUUACUGUUUUCGGGACUUUGGACUCUUAUCAGUUUGCCUACAUGAAUGUUGCAGUGCAUGAAUUGAGGUGUUGGACAUUAUGAUGUCUCAAACUCAGGGGGUGGAUUCCUUCAUGUCCCAAAAGUUAAGCUCUUCGCUACACAUCUUGGGAUCACAACUUUCUUUGUCAUUGCUUUACCUAAUAGGAAAAGAGUCAACCGAUUAAAAAUGGUGGAAGCCUAUGCACUAUCAAGCUAGGAUUCACCAAAUGAUGUUUUCUUAUACGUGGUGCAUCUGAUGUGCUUAAUUUGAAGUGAGGCCCAACUGUCGAAAUGAUGAAUGUACUAGGAUGGAUGAUGAACUAGCAACUGAACGUAGAAGUUUAAGAGGAUCAUCUGUAGGUUCGCCAUGGAACAUUACUACUAGUGCCACAGUCUUCAAUAAUGGAGAUACUGUAAUUUGUCAAGCAUACGGCAGUGUUAAAGUAAGGCUUCCUUCUUCAGUGAUAUUUGAAUGCAGAAAAUGAACUAAGGGUGAUUUAUUUAAUGUUUAUGAGCAUUGCCAAAUUUCCUAGUUAACCUAGAAAGAUGAUGAAAAGGUGUUGAGUUUUUAUGUGAUAGAGCACCUUGAGUGCCAAAAGUAUGGAACUGAAUCAGAUCCUUCAGCAAAAGGUCAGUUCACAAGCCAUAUAAGUGAGAAAGUGCUCGGAUUUAUUAUGGUAAUGUUUGGAAAAUCUGCAGGGAGGACAAAUACCGCAGUCUCGUUCACAUAUGAAUUUGUAUCUUCUGGUUAGGAGUCAUGGAGAAGAGUUUAAAGUGCAUCUGUAAUAUUGGGGUGGCUAGUAUCCCAGUUGCUUUUGGAGUUCUAAUGAGCUGGAUUCUGCCUCCUCAUUAUACUACGACAAAUUUUUACCUUUAUCUUCAGCAUUGCAUAGCCAAUGGAAUACUGAGAGUCUAAAGGAACAAUCCUCUAUUCUGCAUUAAGAAAUCUCCCUAACGAGGAAGAACUUGUGCAAAAAGAUGCUGUUUCCAUUUGAUUGAGACGGAAUAUAGACAUCAGAGCAACAACUUUGCAUUCAGGCAAAAUAUCAUUCGACAGGUAGAAUUGCGAUUACUGCUCGUAUCAAAGUUGCUGAGGUGGCUCAAAUAAGACUUUCAAAUGAGUAGUUACCAUUUCAUGGGAUCAAUCUUGAUGCACCAGGGAUCAAUAUUUCGAUUAUAUUAAUCAAUAUUGCUUCUUCUUCUUCUUUUUUUUUUUUUUUCAAAACUUCAAGCCUUUCUUGUGGUUUUUUAUUGACUAGGAGGCCCUCUUUAUGAAGCUAUGAUGCUGUCCGCUUUGAUGUUGCAAAUUGCUAUCCUGAAGCAUAUGCAUGUCAAGGUAUCAGUGGGGAACAUUUACAUCCCUCAGAACCAAGUUAUUCACAUAGGAAAGCAUCUUUGACUGAAGUUAAGUCUUUGACUGUUUGGUAACCAUUACUUUCAAAUUCAUUUCUUGCACAUUGCACUAAUUUGUCAUGAUUAUAGCAUCUUUCAUUUUACAGUUUGUCUCAUUUAAGGGUUUAAGAAAACUCUCGAUCUCAGGGAUUGUUGCGCCUAUAUAGACCAUUCUGAGUAAGCAAUUUUGGCUAUUAUUAUAAUUUCAAAGCAAGUCAUCGCAAUGGUUUUUCAGGAACUGUGAUCAAGUGUAUCUUAUUUAAAUAGCUAUCUCUUUAUAGUUGAAUUGAUACUCUGCGGUGUUUAGAUUGUCUGAGUUCUUAGAGGCUAAGAAUAUUGCAAAACCCGCAGAAGUUGGAUAAAUUGUUGAGAAGUGUUCAAUAGCCAAAAGAUUCAAGUUUGAUUAGAGUUCAAAUCUAAGACCUUUGGUAUCAGGUGUGCAUCACUCUCUUUCGAGUAUCUAUCGUGCUCACAAAUGUACAUCUAUCACGUAUCUACCAUGCUUAUACAGUUGCUUGUUAAAGUUUUCAGAACGCAUUUUCAUGUUCUGUUGUCUGCUUCUGUUAAAGAAUUCUCCUUUCCUAAAGCAAGAAAGUGUUUCCCAAAUACUAACUUUUUAUGCUGACAAUUUCAACGUUUUGGAAUAAGCCUGUGUUAUAUACCCUUAUUGUUCACGUUGGUGUGAACUUUAACUCAAACCUAUUGAAUACACUGUCAUGAUCUCAUCUAUAACAGACAUUAUAAGAUUCCUUUGAUGCAACUGUUAUGCUGCGUAUGCAUGUUUCCCACUUUUUGUCAUGUGUCAUGGUGUACUGCCGUUUUUUUAUUUUUUAUUUUUUUUAUUAUUAUUUUUUUUUUUAUAUUCUGUAUGUGAUAAAUCCACAUUUGCAAGUUGUACUAUACUAUGGUACUAGAAUUUGAUUGAUAAAUUUACGGUUUUCUAUAGUUUAUGGAAUUUGUAAUAUAUAAUUUAACUGAUGGUGUUAUUUCAAUUUCAAUACUCCAUUGUAAGAAAAUGUCCUUGUUUUCAAUUUGCUUGCAAAAACCUGUUGGAAAUCUAAGACAAGUGAUGAAACCCUUCCCUUUUGCCACUCUCUCUCAUCCCCUCUCUCCAUGGAAUGUUGGAUUUACAGUUCUUUGCUUAGAAUAGAUGAAUCUUAGUAGAUGUUAACUGGUGUACUCACUUUGUGUCCCAUUUUCAGUCACUCUCUGUAUUUGCUACGAGUACCUGCUUUCAUAAUAUAAUUUUAUAAUUGAUCGACAUUUCAAUUGAAACAGGCAAGUGAAGCAGAGGUGGUAUCCUUGAAACGAGAGAGAAAGAUUAAAGAGGUUGAUUGCUGAAGCGCAGGUUUAAGAGGCGGAGAAUGUACAACAUGGGGUGAAUGGGAGAGGGUGAAUACUGACCUAGUGAAUGCACAAAUCACAAUCUGAAAAUGUCACCUGUGCUCAUCAAAAUGCUCUCCUUAAGGUUGAGGGGAUGAAACUGCAAUAACUUCUGGCCUGAAGAAUAUCCCAGUUAUUAAGUUCUGGACCAUAAGUGCUAUAAUGGUCUGGAACAAACUGAGAAGUUCAUUACUUCUGUGUUUGGAGAAAUUUGAUUCCCCUGAGUCUGACUUUACCUCAAUAGUCAUGAUAAGUAAGGAGCCUGAGCUGCUCAGAAAUGGAUGUACUAUGUAGACAUGAUUUGUGCUUUUGAAAGAAACUUACUUGAAGUAAAAUUGCUGCCUUCUGGAUAUGAGGACAGUGACAAUUCCCACUGGAAGAACAUGCAUUUCUACACAUGUAGCUGCUAUCUGAAGGAUGUAAGAUCAUUCAGAAGGGGGAAAGUAAAAUACAAAGUGAGGAGUGAGGACGACAUCAGUACAUCAUUCAUAAAUACUCAACAGCCAUGUUUAAUUCAUAUUACUAAGGAAAAAAAAAAACAUAAAAUAUGGAAGUGCAUGAGGAUAUUCUUUGCUGUAGUUCCUU